rnacentral:rRNA from 1 species
UAGGGAAUCUUCCGCAAUGGACGCCAGUCUGACGGAGCAACGCCGCGUGUGUGAAGAAGGAUUUCGGUUCGUAAAACUCUGUUGUUAGAGAAGAACAGCGCAUAGAGUAACUGUUAUGCGUGUGACGGUAUCUAACCAGAAAGCCACGGCUAACUACGUGCCAGCAGCCGCGGUAAUACGUAGGUGGCAAGCGUUGUCCGGAUUUAUUGGGCGUAAAGCGAGCGCAGGCGGUCAAUUAAGUCUGAUGUGAAAGCCCCCGGCUCAACCGGGGAGGGUCAUUGGAAACUGGUUGACUUGAGUGCAGAAGAGGAGAGUGGAAUUCAAUGUGUAGCGGUGAAAUGCGUAGAUAUAUGGAGGAACACCAGUGUCAAAGGCGACUCUCUGGUCUGUAACUGACGCUGAGGUUCGAAAGCGUGGGUAGCAAACAGG